rnacentral:lncRNA from 1 species
AGAGUUAGGUUGAUUAUUCUCUAAUGUUUAAAAAUGAUCCUGAUACUAGGAAGGGACAAUCCUGAAGAAUUUAAACAUAAUCACACAUGAAUUUCAUCUCAUGAUCAAAUCUUGUUGAUUACUAAUGGAAAAAUGCUGAAGCAUUAUUUGGUAUCUUGUUUGGGGCAUCAGUGUCUGCUCUAGAUGCAGGAAAGGGGAAGAAAGGAGCCAGGCAGCAGGAAUUCCAUCUGGGUAUUCACUCCCUCCUCACCAAGAUACAUUUCUGAAAAGAAAUUGUGUUCUAGGAAGGGAAGCAGAGUUUUCCAGCAGAUAAAGAGAAUGAGAGUACAGCUCUAUGACUCUAGUUUGGAUUUUUCUUUUAGUAAACUGGGGCUAGAAAAGAUCUAGCCACCGCCUAUAAAAGAGCAACUCCAUUACCAAGUAUUAGUCUUAGUUAGCCAUUAAUUAGCAAGGACAGAGAGAUAGAUAAUGCUCUCUGGAAUUAAAAUAUGGGAAAUCACAAAGAAAUUACAUAAAUAAUUGUUGAGCCAUUUCAUGCUAAAUAAUUAUAUAUAUAUAUGUAAUAUAUAAUAUUAUAUAUAUACAAAUAUAUAUGUCCCAUUCAGUCAAAAGUACAAAAAGGCUUAUUCUCCUUUUGUUGGAAGGAAGUCAGCAUCCACAUAGAUGUUGGGAAUUAUGGCUAUAAUAUACCUUAUUGCUUUUAGUCUUUUAAUAUGUUCUUCACUUGAUCAUUACAAUUUUUCUCAGUCCACUCAUUUAAUAAGUACUUAAUGAGCACUUACUAUGAUCUAGUCAUUGUAGUAGGAUAUUGGGAAAUAGCUGUGAGCAAGACAGACAUGAUCACUCCCUUCUUGGAGCUUAUAAUUCAAGAAGGAAAAGUUUUAAAGACCCCUUCAGGUGGUCAGAGAAGCAAGUGGUAAAAGAAAACAAAAAGUCUGAUUUUCUUUGUCAGUAUAAUACCUCUGAUUUUAUUUCAAUUACAUGUAAUCCAUGGCCCUAGGUUCUUUUAAAUUUAAAACUGCCUUAUGCACUUCUGAUUAACAGGUGUAGUUCUGAGUGUGGUGGUGAGCCCCGGGGCAGGACAAAAGCCUGCAUACCUCCUGAUUCUGAAUGCCAAGGAUUUGAGUGAAGUUGCCAGGGCUGAAGUGGAGAUUAACAUCCCUGUUACCUUUCACGGACUGUUCAAAAAAUCCUGAGCAUAUUCUAGCAAGAUGUGUUUAUGGUGACAAAACUAAGAAAACUAGCUUCAGUUCUGCAAUCAAAUUUGUUCAAUUUUAGCCUGCUAUAUGUUGUGUUUUUAACUUGCACAUGCACAUAAUUUUUCAAUGUCUUAUAGAAGAUUUCUGACCAAUCUCUUUUUAAAAAAGUAUUUUCUUGAUAAAAUAGACCAUAGCUGAAAAAUUCUUUUAAUAUUUAGCAAUCAAAUAAGACAUUAAUGUGGACUUAUUAAACUGAUUUUUGUUCCUAUAUAAAAGAUAAUUUUAGCUAUCUGCUCUAAUGUUGUUUUUUUAACAUUUAAAACCCAAAGUCUUCUACAUACCUUAUUUGUAUGUAGCUUUGCUGAGUCAAGGCAAAAAGGCUUAAUUACUAAAGUCAAACCAAACUUUCCAGGGACUAUCAUUUAAGAGUACAUAGCAAUUGCUUUGCAUAAAUGUAACUGCUUAAAGAUCCUUAAUGAACUUUAAUCUCUGUGUUCAAUUUUUUUUCAAUUCCAUGCUUAAUUCCAUUAAAUAUUGGCAGUUGCUACCACUUCUGAUUUUGCAAUGAAAAAACAUAUGUCUCAGUGACUGCAACCUCUCAAUCAAAUAACAUCUCAGAGAUUAAGUUAUAUAUUUCAAGCUUAUUUAUGUCAACACAAAUACAUUUAGUAGUGACUAAUUUUUUUAAAUCAGCAUAAAAUACAAAUAUCAAGUUAAAAUCUGAGUGUGGGAUAAUAUUGAGGGAUAUAUUAUGUUGCCUCUUCUUUUUCAUUAUAUUUAAGCACUGUGCAAUCAUCUGAUGGAAGGCAGAGAAAAAAAUUAACUAACUUUCAAGUUUUAACACAUUUUAAGCACUUUGUACUUAAGCACUUUGUAUUGCUCUCUUCUGUGCUAUAGAUCACAAGAAAAAAUAGAUAGUGGCAGGCAAAUUAUAUUCUAUAUCUUAAUCCUUGUAUCUAUUUUAUGCCCACAAGCAUUACAUAUUAUCAUAUUUAAAAUGAUCAGCAUCAUGCUUGACUAGGUAAAAAAAUAGCUUGAAGGAACAGAUUUACCAGGGCACUUCAGUCAUCCACUUGAUUUCUUUAUUUAGAUAAGAUGAAAACUCAUUUUUUUAAUUUUAAAUACCUAUUGAAAUAUACUUCUGAAAGCAAAUCUAAAUAUAGAAAUAAAAUUUAUAAAGUAAAAUUGCAUAGUGCUCCUCUAAAUUCAGUUACUAUUAAGAUUUGAGUUCUGGUCUUUUCAUCUUUUUAUCCCUACAGAUUUUUAAUAUAAUUAUUAUUUGUCUGUGGAUAAUUUAGAAAGAAAUAAAAAUAUCAAAAAAAGAAAAGGGAAAAUGCCAGAGAAUUAUGUAGAGCAUUCACGGUAAAUAAACAUCAAUCCAGUGCUUUGUGCCCCUAGACAGCACAUGAAUAGAAUUUCACAAAGAAAGGUAUUUCUCUAUUUAUUUAAAAAUGCAAAAAAUAAAUACUAAAAAAUUGCUAAGUUUUAGACUUCAAGUCUGAAUUUAAGAGAAUUCCUAAAACUGUCACUUACUUCACUUGCCAAUCACUCACUCCUUGGCUUUUUCCCAUUCAUUCUCCAUGAAGCAAGAGUCACAAUUCAGGGUAUCCACAUCUCCCCCUAUAGUAAGAUCCCCUUCUGAGAUGACUACAGUAUGAAGGAGGGACAGAGGCAGAUUUGACUAAAGUAUCAUUCUAUCAAGAGCAUUUCACUAAAGUUGGAAUUCUCCAUCACCAUCGUUGCUAAUAUUGUAGCAAGAGAGCUUAGGAUCUGCUUUAUAAAUCCAAAGAUGGAAUGUGAGCUUUAAAAACUUCAAUCAGAAUGAGGAAGAUUUAAGUCAAGCAGAAAAGGUUAACUUAUAAAUUCAAACUGAAUAAAUUAAGGAAACUUCUUUCAAAGAAAAUGCCAUCCAUCUGGGUGAUUGAGAGAACUAUGUCCCAUAUAAAAACAAAUAAAUCUGUUUUAAGGGAAAAAAGUUCAACUGAAUUAAUGUAAAUCAACCUGCUAAUAAAUAACUAUUUUUAAAAUAACAAGCUAUUUAGAGUCUUAUAGCUAAGGGGAAAAAGAAUAAAACUUUGGCAUAAUUAAUCAAAAGGUAAUUUAACUGAUAACUACCUCAUGGCAAACAAUAUAGACAGAGUCUCUGUACUAUGUUCUAAAGGAGAAAAUACCAACUGACAUCAAAGGGAAACUAUCUUCCAAAAACUCUGUGUCAGUAUGACUUCAUCAGCCCACAGUCCAGUUUAAGAAUAAAAUGUUUUCUUCUUUCAGCCUGAGAGGAAGAGUGUAGGCACAUCCCCCAAGGAACACCAGAUCUGCUAAAUCUCUGUCUCAAUGGGAAAAUAAACUCCGAAAAACAGGAUAAAAGAAGCUCACACUACUGUGUACUAAGCACUUUUGUUCUUAUUGCUACAUUCAACAUGGUGCUGUCUUCACUAUUUUAAAGAUGAGACAGAGCUGGGUAUGGUGGUUCACACCUGUAAUCCUAGUGACUCUGAAGGCUGAAGCAGGAGGAUCAUAAGUUCAAAGCCAGCCUCAACAACUUAGCGAAACCCUAAGCAACUUAGUGAGACUCUGUCUCAAAAUAAAAAAUAAAAAGGGUUGUGAAUGUGGCUUAGUGGUUAAAGUGGUUAAGCAUCCCUGAGGUUUAAUCCCCAGUUAAAAAAAAUGAGAAAGAAAUGCCAAGUUACUUUCCUAAAGAGUAAUAAAACUUAGACUGAACUGUAUGUUGAAAUGAAAAGCUUUCUGCCUGAAAAUUUGGUUUCUGAUGCCACUGAAAUAUUCCUAAUAAUUUCAAUUUUCUCUUCAAAUAAAACCAUGAUCAUUCUACUAAGUAAUCAAGUCUGAGCAUAAAUAAAAUUUGUGAUGAUUUGCUAACUCCUACCAGUUAUUAUUGGUUCAAAAUAUUUCUUGAAAAAAUAGUUACCAUGUUCCAAGUACUUAUUAUGCUUGGGAUUCCACCAUUUCAUCUCUAUAGAGCCCUCCCUGUGUGUGGGCUUGGUAAUCCUAUUUUGCAGA